GGGGGGGCUACAGUUAGAUAAUAUUCUGGUCAGCACAUUCGAUAAACUACAUGGAAUUCAUUAAAUCACUUCUUUUUCUUUCAGUGGUCUUCAACUUUUAAUCUCCAAGAAGGAAAUGUAAUUAAAAGAUGAAUAAAGUAUCCCUAAGAAUACCAGAAGAAAGGCUAUGUGUUGAGAAAAACAGCCCUUCCUCAGUACCUCAGAACUAGAUGAUAGCCCUUAAUUGUUACUUUAUGCUGAAUAUGACACAGUAUAGAAUAUCUGAUCAUGAAGAAGUAACACCAUUGAUACACUUGCCAACUGCCAAAAUUACUUUCUGAUAGUAUGAUGAGAUUAGAAGAUAUGGUGUAGUCAUGACACAAACUGCAAAUCAAAGAAUUGUCUUCCCCAGAGGAUGAACAGAGCACGAUGGCUUCACAUGGAUAACAUUUCCUUUCGAGUUUUGAAAUUAAUUUGUCAGAAUGUUAUGCAUUGUUAUCAACAGAAAAGAACUUCAUAGGUAGACCAAAGCUGACAUGGGAUGAGAUCCUAGAACAAGACCUAGAGUUUACAGGAUUGGAUAGGAUCAAUCCACUGGGUCGCCAAGUGUGGAAGUACAAACUUCAACCUCGACAGGACAGCCAGGCCUCACCCUUGCAAAAAGAUUAAUUUGGCCUGGAUAGUCAAAAUGAGUGAUGAUGAUUGAUAUCAAGGUCUGACACUGGAAGCUCAGUAAGGGUAGAUGCUGGCAAUGGAGCUGUUUAGCAAUAAAACAAACAAGUUUAACAUUAAACAUAUUUGUAUACUUUUUUGGCUCACCUGAGCCAAAGGCUCAAAUGAGCUUUUCUGAUCACCUUUGCCUGUCGUCUGUCUGUUUAUAAACUUUUCACAUUUUCAUUUUCUUCUCCAGAGUGAACCACUGGGCCAGUUUCAAUCAAACUUGGUAUGCAUCGUCAAUAGAUAAAGGGUAUUCAAGUUUGUUCAUAUAAAGGGUCAUGCACCCUUCAAAAAGGAAAUAAUCAUGGAAAUGCAAAAAUAGGGUGGGGUCAUUUAAAAAACCUUUUCAAGAACCACUGGACCAGGAAAGUUGAAUUCACACGAAAGGUUCCUGUUUUGUGCAAAUCAUGGUCUCUGGGGGUAGGGUGGGGUCACAAUAGAGAAUCAAAGUUUUGCAUUCAUAUAUAGUGCAUAUUCAAGUUUGUAAAAAGCUCACAGGGGUAGGGUGGGGGUCACAAUAGGGGAUUUAAGUUUUACAUGUGAAAUAUAUACAAGGAAAAUCUUUUAAAAUCUUCUCCUCAAAAACUAGAUGCAGAACCGUAGCUCUUUGAAAAGAGAGCUUCAGAUGAACCCCUUAUAAAAAAAACUUCAAUUUAUGGCAGAGAAAAAAAGUGCAUGUUUAAGUCCCUUUAUCACUGCAUUCCUGCAUCGCUGUCUCAUGAAUUUAAUAUUAAAUAAUUCCCAACAUAUUUUCCCACUAUACUUGUUUCCAAGCAUACUUUCAAAUAUUUUCUAAACCCACAUAUAACCCCAAAACAGCUUCAAGUGAUUUCAAUUUCUUUGUUGAUGUAGCCAUGUUAAGUAGCCAGUCGAUUUGAACCCCAGUUCAUUUCCAUACUCAUACUCAUUUUGAAACAUAAUGUUUGUGUGAACUAAUAUCCUCACAAAUAUUUUUAGUGAAAUAUUUUGGAUGAAAUCAUCCCAGUUGGGUUAAAUACUUAUUAUUCAAAUACUGUAGGUUUGAAUAUUGAACUAAUCUCACAGCUUUCUUAAGUUUGGUCCCCAUCCCCACCAGUCUGUUUUUACGCUUAACUAUUGAAAUGGGGUGUAAGGGAUCAGACUAGGCUUUUAUAGCAUUAUCAAUUUUCAAAAGCUUUAGAAAAAUUAUACAAUUUUAGGUCACUUGAGUAAACUCAGAUGACAUAUUGCUAUUGAUCUGCAUCUGUUGUAGUCCGUCGACAUUAACAAUUGAACAUUUUUAACUAAAUUCUAUAACUGAAAGAUGAAGAUACCGCACAGCGAUCAAUCUACGAUUCAAAUAACGGAAUUCUUUUCAAAUUUAGUAUGAAGCACACAAAUUUACAUUAAACCUUCUUGACAUAGUGCAUAUUCAAGUUUGUUAAAAUCAUUUCCCCGGGAGUUAUGGUGUGGUAACAAUAGGGGGUCAAAGUUUUAUAUGCUAGCUGAUAUAAAGGAAAAUUCUUUAAAGAUAUCUCUUGAACUAUUUAAGCUAGGGCUUUCAUAUCUUGUAUAUACAAUUUUUAUGGCAAAACAAAUCUGACCUAUUCAGUAUGUCCUGAACUACAUUGUGUUUAAGGUAGAUCUUUCAUAUAUAUUAUAUAUUAUGAAUUUCAUAUGAUAAAACCUUUCAUCUUGUUGAGGAGCCUCUCACCUCUGGUUGGCGCGGGUUUGAAUCCUGCUCGCACCGGUAAUUGAGAAAGUUUCCCAGUUUACUCUCGGAAGGUCGGUGGUCUCUUCCCAGGUACAUUGUAUCUGGGUUCUCUCUUCCACCAAUAAAAACUGGGCACCACCAGAUAACUGAAAAAUUGUUGAGUGUGGCGGAAAACAGUUAAAACAAUCAAUCAUAUUAUGUUAUUUGACCUUGUGACCCUGAACUCUGAGUUUGACAUACUUUUAAGAAAGUAUAACGUAUUAAGUAUAUCCAGGACUAUUUUAGAUAGGGCUUUUAUGUUUUGUAUAUUGAUUACUUAUGGCAAGGUCUUUCAUAUCAUACCAAGACCUACGACUUUUUACCUUGGUCUUAUCCAGAACAGCAAUAUCAUGCUAGUCAUAUCUUUGUCUUAUAUGAUUUCAUUUUAGUAAUGUUGUGUUCUUUAGAACUAGGUUUGGGUCACAUUAUUCAUGAGAAUAAAGAUUGAUAAAAUAGCAUUUAAAAAUCAAAACAGCAGGGCCAAGAUGACUCAGGUGAGCGAUGUGGCCCAUGGGCCUCUUGUUGAUUUUGAUAUUUCUACCUAUAUCAUUUGUAUGAGAAAUGGAACUCCUUUUUUUCUUUUACAAAUACAUGUAUUAUCAUAUGGAUCCAUCUUUGUUGAUUAUUUAAUCAAAGGACAUAUUCAAUGUAUUAAAUGUAAAUUUAUGGAUAUGUCUGUGGUUGAAUUACUUAUGUAUGUAUGUAUACAUUUUUCUCGCACAUGCAAUUACAUAUAUGAUGUAUAUAUAUUUACUAAUUGUACAUGUAAUAUCCCCUGUUAUAUAAUAAAAUAUAUGACUGAGAAUA